UGCACAUUUUAACCUCCUCUGCCACCCACAAAAUUUGGUUUUGGCUUAAGUGGAUAUUUUUCAUGGAAUUUCCCCACCAAUCUAUCAGCAUUUACUUUCCAGCUAUUAACCCAAGUUGCUUGUGAAAUUGGAUAGCCUUUCCAAUAAAUUAAAUAUUGUAACUUCCCCCUGAAAAUCCUAGAAUCCAAAAUUUUCUUAACUUCAUAAUGUUCAUGCCCUGCAAUGAACAAAGGCUUUGGGGGUGCAUGUUCUGUUGGCCUCGAGGAAGAAUCAACAACCGGCUUUAAUAAACUACUAUGUGCUCUGCGUU